rnacentral:misc_RNA from 1 species
GAUGCUCCCACUUCACUUUUCCUAAGCACCAAGCACUCAGCAAUCAAGACUACCCUUUCUCUCAUUCUAUUUUUCCCUCAACAAAUACACAUAUACAGACAAUGGCCACAGCAGCAUUCUCUGCAAUUGCCCUUCUACUCUUUGUGCUCAAUCUUUGCCUUAGAGGCACUUCUGGGGACUAUGGAGGGUGGCAAGGUGGUCAUGCCACUUUCUAUGGUGGGGGUGAUGCUACUGGGACAAUGGGAGGUGCUUGCGGUUAUGGCAAUUUGUACAGCCAAGGGUACGGUACUAACACUGCAGCACUUAGUACUGCCCUAUUCAACGAUGGCUUGAGCUGUGGAGCUUGCUAUGAAAUGAGAUGUGACAACGAUCCCAGAUGGUGCCUCCCUGGAACCAUCACAGUCACUGCUACCAAUUUCUGCCCUCCUAACAAUGCCCUGCCUAAUGACAAUGGUGGCUGGUGCAAUACUCCUCUUCAACAUUUUGACUUGGCUGAGCCUGCUUUCUUGCAAAUUGCUCAAUACAGAGCUGGAAUUGUUCCUGUGGCCUACAGAAGGGUACCCUGCAGGAGGACAGGAGGCAUAAGGUUCACAGUCAAUGGCCACUCCUACUUCAACCUGGUUCUAAUCACUAACGUUGGAGGUGCUGGUGAUGUGCAUGCUGUAGCCAUCAAGGGGUCCAGAACCGGUUGGCAACCAAUGUCAAGAAACUGGGGCCAAAACUGGCAGAGCAACAGUCUUAUGAACGGACAAAGCCUCUCAUUUAAGGUCACCACCAGCGAUGGCCGUAGCGUGGUCUCCUAUAAUGUUGCUCCUCCAAACUGGUCCUUUGGGCAGACCUUCUCUGGCGGCCAAUUCCGCUAGGGUACUAUGCCACAUAUGCCCUUCAGCCUAGGGUUUUACUUUUAUAUACUUGGGGUAUCAAAAGUAAUAUUAGUGUGAGUUUAGGCUAUAUAUAUAAUACAUAAUACUGAGUCCGGGAGGUCAGUGUUUGGCCUCCUGGGUCAAAAUGAGUAUUAGGGCUUAUUUUAAGUUGCCCUUUCCCUCAUUUUGAGGUAAUAGUUAGGUCACUCUUUGGAGGGUGUCCUACACUUGGAGGGACCUUUUAUAUUAGUGUUGGCGGUCUUCUCAUUUUUUCUUCUGCUGUAAUAAGGCAGAAGAUGGCAGAGGUGGACUCUCACCACCCGCCACUAGCAUUUGAAUAUUUUUUUUUUUUAUCCCAUUGGAUGCCUUUUUCUUUUGUCAUUGUAAUCAACUUUGGGAGGAAUCAACGCCCCUCAGUUGCUAUAUUUAAGUUUGAACUAUAUGAGACUAAAGUGUGGAUCUCCAAUUUCUGCUAGUAAUGGGAGUGAAAAUAUAUAUUAAAUUUGGUGUUUGUUGUUUUUUCUUUAGCUUGGAAGUUGGAAGCUUCAUUAUCUUUUGGGGUCAAUUGGGUUCUUCUUCACAGCCAUCCCUUCAGGCUAAAGCAGCUAAUUCAAUAGAAAAAAACCCACGCAUGUGGAAGGUCCAACUCUUCAUCCUAAUAAUAAUAAUAUCAACUCCAUGUAUUGCAAGCCACAGAAUUACCAAGAGAACAUGCGUAUACCUACUU